GCCCUCCCCAGGGGCCUUGGGUGACCCCGGGUCAGCUGCCUGGCCUCUGGCAUCCUCCUGUACCCUUGCGGUCCCAGCUUCUGCGGUCCUGGCGUCCCCUCCCCCUCCUGCCCUCCCUCCCCUCCCCUCCCCUCUCUGGCUUCAGCAGGGAAGGUGAUGGGGUGGAGUGGGGGUAACCCUGCCUGUUCGGUAAGCUGGGAAGAAUGACUGCCCCAGACCCCCAGGAUGAGGAAGAAAGUUUUCCCUCUUUCUUGCCUUCCUCAUACAUUCCUACCUCCUCUUUCUGUCAUUGGUGCCUGCGGGUGCCAGCAUCCCGGGGAUAAGCUAGGGAAAGCCGGGGCCUUGGCCAGGUGCCCCAGACUGUGGCUCCAGGAAAGGACCUGGCUUCCUGGCUAGGUGCCCAGCUCUGCACCCCAGGUAGGGGGAUCUUGAGACAAUCUCCCAAGAUCCGUGUCCCAUGGGAUUCUCAGGCCUGUCCUGCAGGCUGUCAGGGGGGCACAUGAGAUGAGGUCAUGGAAAUCCUUCACAAGCCCAGAAGUGCCCCACAAGGUUAGCUGUGGCAUAGGUUUUGGUCCUGUAACUUCCCUGAGACAGGAUCAGGGCCCUGUGGGCCCACUGAACUCUGUAAUAAAGGCUGAGACAGACCUCAGUGUCAGCAGGAACCAGGAGUUAGAGAAUUUAGUAGACGGUGCCAAGUGCUGGGCUCGGGGUCUAAUUCUGGGCUACCUAGAGAGGGAAACAAGGACACCUUUGCCAUCGAGGCACAAAUAAUAAGAGUGUUAGAAAUGGCAGGCACCCCAAAGAAGGGUCUCAUACUGUGUCCCCCUGAGCCCUUGGGCCCCCGGGGGUGCGAGGGUGAAGGUGAGAGGGGGCCGGCAGCCCUGCCCGUGCUUCAGUCACCCACUGAACAACAAAUGUUUAGUGCAGUUGGACCUUUGAUUGGAGAAGAGGUUCUACUACAAAAAUAAAUAUUGAAAAACCAGAGACCUCAUCUAACCCCACAAUUUCACCAAUGCGGAAACUGAGGCCAGAAAAGAGAAGUGGUUUGCCUAAGGCUGCCCAGCUCAGUUGUGUCAGAGCUGCUGCCUAGGCCACUCACUCCUGGUCUGUGGAAAAGGGCCAGCACCCCGAGGAUGAGGAGGACAAUGGCAAAGCGAGGCCCCCCCAUCAAGGUCUGGGCCUCAGCCACAGCUCCUUUAAUAUGACCCCUGAGGCGAGGCCUCAGGGCCAGGAGCCCUGUUGACCAGAUGCUGAUCUGGGCUGGAGAGGAGGGCAAAGGCCCACUUUCCCGACCAGCUGAGAGCUCUGCGGGCUGUCAGCCCCAGCAAGGCCUCUCCAACUAACCAACUACCCCAGCCCCAGCUUUCCAGCCUGCCACCCACUGCCCCAGGCAUUCUCUGAGUCCUUACUGCAAGUAGCUGAGGCAGGCAGACAGGUGCCCCUCUCCCCCAUUUUACAGUUGACUGAGGCACCCGGCGGUAAGUGGGCCUGGAACCGAGCCUCCCCAAUGCCAACCCUGUGCUCUCGUCAUUACUUCCUGCUCUUCACAGUGUCUUUCCCCAGCACCCCUCCUCCCCCAACACCGGCUCUGCUCACCCUUGCACUCAGCCCUGUGCUGACUGGCCCAACGUUCCCCUCGUUGGCUUUAGCAAGGAGAGGCACCCCGACCAAGGUGCUGCCCGGGUCUCUCAGCCCGUGCAGAGCUCCUGGCCUUUUGCACAGCCCAGGCCCAGUCCCUCCCCUUGGAGGUGGAUUCUGUUCACCAUCCCCUGACUGCAGAGAGGGCUCAGGCCAGGAACUUGGUCCUCUAGCCAUGACUAGGUGGGACUAGGCCAGGACAUCCAAACAAGCUCCCAACACCUGCCCUUUCCCCAAGAUACAGACCAUAACUCAGUGCCAGGGCAACCAACAGUCUCGGCUUAUCCAGGACUCUCCUGCUUGGCACUGAAAGUCCCAGGAAAUUCCUCAUACCUGGGCAAGCUGGGACAACUGGUCACCCUACUCAGCACACACAUACCCAGGGUCUUCGUGCCUUCCCCAUCCCCUACUGAGUGGGGUCUUUCUUCAUUCUAUACCCCUGGUCUCCACUGAGGCUAAUGAGUGGGACCAUGGUCAGUCCACUCAAACUAUCUGGCCCCCUCAGACUGGCCUGGGGCCUAGCACAGGCCCAGAGUCUGCUAAGGUGAGCAGAGGGUCCACAACCUGUUGGAGGUGUCCUGCCCCAGGCCCUGUGAGAUAGAUAGCAGAGGGAGCCCGCGAAAAGCCUGGUGGGAUCCUGGGCCUUGAUCCCCACCCAGCUUUAUCCUCAGGCUGGGGGCAGGCCACUCCGGGGUGACCCCGGGUGGGGCAGCCCUAGAGCUGGAGCCAGGCAGGGCCUGCCUGGGGCUCACUGAGGCGGCCUCUACCUGUCUAGGCUUGAGGUGAGUCAUUUUCUCCCCCAGCUGGUAUGAGGCUGGGAGGGGGAGUGGGGGAUGUCAUCUAAAAAUAGCAGGGCCCAGCCUUAGACAUACCCAAAGAGCUUCUCCUCGGGCAGGGGAGGAGGAGCUGACACCAGCUGUGGCCCCAGCCAGAUGCCUGCACUGGGCCGAGGAGGAGGAGGAUGGCCCUGAGACCCCCGCCCUCCACCCCUUCCCAGGCUCAGCUAGGGUGCUGAGGUGUGGAGGAAGCAUCUGAAAGGCUGAGACACAAGGGGUGUCGAGAUGGGGCAGGAGCUUGCGGAGAAGAGAGGCCUCAGCAGACAGGGCCUGGGAAGGGCCGAGGGGUCUGUGACUUGGCAGGCUGGGGCUGGCAGAGACAGCAUCGACUGGAUCACCAGCCUGGGUUUCCCUCCACGUCAUCCCCACAGGACCACGUUCACGCCCCACCCCCACCCCCACAACAGAGACGCACUUGGAGACACACAGACACAGCUGGCCCGUGUGAGUCACUUCCCUCCUAAGAGGACUCGUCCCCCGGCUAAGCGGGACUCAACUUCUCUGGUCAGCAGCAUAGACUGAGGACCCACUGUGUGCUUGAGCCACACCCUGGGAGACAAGGAAGCAAUAAUCAUGACUGUCCCUGGCCUUGGAGACACCUUAAGAGGCCCAGUCAGGAAGGGGCAGGACAACACACAGAGCAGAAACACAACAGGCAGGGAGGGCCCUGUGUGGUGGGACAAUCUGGAGUCAGGUUUAAAUCCUGGCCCUGCCAUUUGCUUGCCAUGUGACCUGAGACAAGUUAUAUGACCUCUCCCUGCCUCGGUUUUCUCAUCUGUAUAAUGGAUGUCAUAUAAGGCCUCCAUCACAUGUCAAAUACAGUAUUGUCUAUAAAGUCCCCCAGGAAACAGAUGUCUUUCCAUUAAAGCUCAUGGCAUGAGGCUAUCAACUUAAACAAAAAGACACUACAGAUUUCAGUACACAUUUCUAACCCAAAGACCCAAGAUGAUAAUAUUCCACCUGUGAUAGGUUAAGGUGAGGAGCAGUGAGGUAAAAAAACCCUGCAUUUUACAACAAUAACAAUGGCCACUGUUAAGAACACUUCAUAUUUACCUCAUUAUCUCUUAUCCUCACAACAGCCUCAUACAGCAGGCAUUACUGUCCCCAUUUUAUGUGUGGAAAAGUGGAGACCCAAAGACAGUAAGUAACUUGUUCCAUCCACAUCAUACAGGUAGCAAAUGGUAGAGACCAGGUUUGGACCCACUCUUUUUUUUUUUUUGGGUGUGCCAAGUGGCUUGUGGGAUCUUAGUUCCCGACCAGGAAAUGAACCCAGGCCCUCGGCAGUGAGAGUGUGGAGUCCUAACCGCCUGACCGCCAGGGAAUUCCCUGGACCCACUCUGAGUCCAAAUUUCUUGUGCCUCAUGGGGUGUAAGUGGGCGUCUGCUACAUCUGGAGUUGGCUGAAGGUACACUGUUCUCUGACUUUUGGGGGAGGGGGCCCUUGGACACUAGCCUGGGGUGACUAGACUAUGCCAAGCCUUUGGGGGCUGCCUUCUUCCGUCUUACCUCCCUCACCCUGAGCCCUCACCUAGAAACACAGAGUGUACUCUGCCCUCUCUCAAGGUUACCACUUUUACACCUUGCAGUAGCCCAGCAAGGGAAAUGCCACAACUCCCACUUGACAGAAAGGGCAGACAGCAAAGGGAUCAUGAACCUUUGGUGGUCACAGAGCUGGGGGUGGCAGAGUCUAGACCUAGUGCUCUCCCCUCGAACUCCUAGGCUGAGGCUCUGUCCUGGAACCCCAGCUGUCUGAUGUCGGGGAGGGGCAGGAACUCCUCUGCUCUCCCAGGCUCCUUACACCUUCCCCAAACCAUCCCUGUUACUGCUUGCUGGACUACAUGUAAAACCCAAACCUUGCAUCAGUCAAUGGCCCCUGGCUCCAGUAAGAGCCUUUUUCUGUGUGGGCUUUUCCCACCCUUGUCUGAGUCAUUCUCUACUGGUUCCAGGAGACUGGAGAGAGGAGGCCUCUUAUCCGGACAGUAGAGAUGGAGAGACUGAGGCAGGAAGUGACUUACUGCAAUGAGUCAGGGGCCAGAGCUGGCAACAGUCCAGGCUGGGAGGCCACAGGUGUAGCUGGCAGGGCCUGAGGUGCCACAUACUCAUAAAAGAGUUUUUAAUGCUGUGUAGUAGGCACAAAUAUCAAGAGAUAUGUGUUGUAGGCCCUGGGUGAGAAGAGGAGGGGUGAUAUGGCAGAAAAGAUGAACAUGAUAUAGGAAAGAAAAGAAAAAGAAACCCAGAAGCCCAGUCUUGCCCGUUACAGACUCCCUGAGCUCAGCUGGGGCAUGUAACUCAGUUUUCUCCUCUAUAAAAAUCAUCAUGGUUAUCCUUUAUUGGGUGAGUCCUAAUGAUCGCUGCGGCUUAACACUUUAUAGACACUGUCUUAUUUAAUUCCUACUACAAUCCAGUGAGGUUGUACUAUCAUCAGCCCCAUUCGACAGAUGACUUAUCUGAAGCUCAGAGAGGUUAAGCAACUUCCCCCAAAACACAGCGCUUGUUCCAGCAGGCAUAGGAUAACAAAUCUAGGGGCUGACUUAGAAUAGCUCUCCAAAUCCAGUGGGGCAGAUGGGACCCCGCGCGUGCGGCGCCCACGUGGAGCUGCCCAGGCGUGUGGGCGGGUUCGCACCAGGAACUCAUGCGUCUGUCAGCGCAGUGCGGCGGUGGAGGGACCAGCGCGGAGGAGAACACCAACAGCCCGGGGAUAAUGAGCUAGGGCUUCCGGGAGGCAGGGGGAUACGAGCAAGCCUGACCGGGCCGUGCGCCCGCGCGUGCCCACGCGUGCGCUCAGGGCUCUGGGCCGAGCCAGUGCCAGAGGGCUUCCAGCGCGGCUCUCCCCCUGGAGCCCAGCACAGGUGGCCGAGAGAGCAGGGAGCCGGGAGAGGGUUAGGUUCUACCGGCGGCUCCCGCCAGCGCCCUCCCCUCCGCCCCAGUCCCCGCCCCGCACGGGCCCAGCCGCACGUUGCCGGCGAUUGCCUCAUCAGGCCGAUGCAGCUCGCGCCCUCCCGCACGUGGCGCACACUGCUCACCGGGCGCAGCGCGCUGCCCCGGGCCUUGUCCCUCUCCGUCCCCCGGCGCAGACCACCGCCAGACUGAGUCCCCAGCGGCCCAUUCACCCGGCAGAUGCCGGAGCCUCAUCUCAGACACCUUUGAUGGCUGCCCUUUGCUCCGUCUGGACAAGUGAGGGAAAUUGACACCCUGCCGCUGUGACCACAUUGAUGGGCUUCCAAAGCACGACGGUUACGUGUUCCCCGUGCUCCUCACGGCAGGCCAGGCAGUUGUUAAACCCACUUCACCAGCGAGGACAUGAGAAGUGGACAGGUGAUGUGCCUCAGUCAAGGUCACAUGGCCAGGAAGGUGUGAACAUUAAGGUGAGGCCAGCAGCUGGACGUGGGAAAGGAAAACCAAUGGCCAGAUUCCAGAGAGGACACACAGAGCUCAUCAUCACCACCGUCAGAGCUCCCACUGACUGAGCACUUCCUGGUUGCCUGUGCUCUCGCCCAACCCCCUGAGCCUAUGGGAAAAGGCCUAUAAGAGUACGAGGUUAAUGAAUGCCCAAGGCUGGACUUGACUGUACUGAAGAUGGAGUGCAAGCUGCCCAGAGGCAAGGUAAUGGCCUCGGUGACCCUUGGUUCUCUAUUCCUGCAUGAAGGUCUGUGAGACCCACAGUUCAGCUGUGGCUGCUCAUCUUGGUCCCCCACCCUGUCCUGGGUGAGUCUCGGCUUAGAAGCCUUAAACUGCGUGCUAAGCACCUUCUCCACUCAUUUCUACCUAAAUUUGCCCAGCCCUGUGCCCUGCCCCUGCAGUGCUAUGGCCACUCCAAUACAGUAUAUUGGGUUUCCUUGUCCCUUCUAACAGAACCCUACUCAUAGAGCUCCUUCUCCAGGAAGCCUUCUCUUAUCAGUGUUGUUCACGUGGGGCUCAUCUACACUGUUAGCAUUUGUGAAGGGUUUGGGCCCUAACUGUCCCUCUACUUUGACACUUCCCCCCCAUCCUAAGGUAGAACUAGGGCCGCAGACUGUGACCUGGCUGGUCCCUGGAAGAGUGGGCUCUGCCGGAUGGGGGUAGCAAGAUACAGUUGCCGUGACAGCUAAAAGCACCCCCAGUGAGCCUUUUCAUUGGCCACUGAGGUUGAGAUCCCGCCUCUGCCAUCGGAAGGCACCAACCCGAGGCAGACUGGGUGAGACCCCACUGGGGCAUUAGAGGAGGUGACAGGUUUCGCUUCCCAUCCGGCAGGAAGACCCACGGGCACAUGGUCCCACUUCUCAUGGACGUGCUGGCUACAGUGGAGCUGUGUCCAGGAGACGGUCGUGGGUGGAGGUGGGGAGCAUCUCGCUGGCCUUUUCCUCUGGCGGGGCUGGCUAGACUUGGAGCUGGGUGAAUGGACCGGGGAGGAAACAGUUUUUCUUACCAGCAGUUCAGGCCCGGGAGGUCUGGCUCCUUGGGGGUGUGGCUGGGAGGUCCCCAAGGGCUGCCAGGUGGACGCGGAGAGUGAGGGGAGGCUGAGGAGGAAAAGUAUUAGGGAAGUGGGUGGGGAGGAUCUCACUAGUAAAAGAGGCAGAAGUUACUGGAGGUAAAGGUCUGGGCUUAGAGUCACAAAAGACCCGGGUUCGAGUCCUCUCUGUCCUCGCCAGCACACAGGUGCCUCCCUCUCUCUGUUUCGGGGGAGGGUUCGAACACUCAUGACUUUGUGCCGGUCCUUGUACUGAACACCCUGGGACUUUUCCCUCCGUUAUGCCCUCAAAACGACCCUGAAAUAGGUGGGUGCCAUUUUACAGGUGAGGAAACUGAGGCUCAAGGAGGCUACGUGGGAAAAGGCCA